GUGAGUGUAGCUCAGUUGGUAGAGCACUGGACUGUGACUCCGGCCGUCGAGGGUUCAAAUCCCUUCACUCACCCCA
rnacentral:tRNA from 1 species